AUGGGCAUCCCACCCCAGCACUUUCUAGGAAGGAGGGCAGCAUUUUGAAGGGCUGGAAGUAGAGGAAGGAGGUUGCGGGUAGAAGACUCCAUACUUUCUGUGAUGCCUAUUCCUUAGGAAUCAAGGCUAUCUGUAAUCACAGGGCUAUUUGAAAAAGAGAAGAAAAGGUGUCUUGAAAUUCAACCAACAUGUUUCAAUUAUUUGCUCCUAAGAACAACAGAAGUUUCAACAUUCUGCCAACAAAGUAACUCCUGGAAGAUUGGCACAGAAGAAGGCACAAGGAGAGCCUUUAUAUAACCAAAGAUAUUUUUGGACCAUGAAUUCGGAAAUUCUCGGAGCCACCCAUCAGUGCCUGAGCUUCAGUGAGUCCAUAUCCCAUGUCACCCACGGCAAAGGAGAAUCUAAGACUUCUGAAGAGUUUCUUGCUUCUUUCCUGUGGGGCAGUGACUCCACUUCCCAGCAGUAAUGGAAUAUCCUGAAUUAGCUACAUUAAUGUUAGAACCAUUUGGACCUCACCCAGGACUUCAACUACAUUAUGGUUCUAGUAUGUUAGGUUUAUGUUCCCCUGCUUUCUACAAUCCUGUUCAAAGAGUUGCUGACUUAACCACAGAGAGGAUUCCAGAACAUGAGACACAGAAUAAACUUGAGCAAUCAUAGUCCAUCCACUUCAUUUUCUCAUCAAAAACCAAAGGUCCAGUGAAGCUCUGGAACUCAACGCUGUAAAGGAGCGAAGGAGCUUCUAUACAGAGCCUGGAUGCCUGUCUCCUUAUCCUACUUCAGUGGACUUGACUGCAAUCCGGACUAUGC
rnacentral:lncRNA from 1 species